CGGCGGCCGGGCCGCUCCCACCGGCACCGUGUUCGUAGACGACGACGGCGACGACGAGCCUGUCAUCACGGCGAUGCUGGUGCAGCAGAUCGCUCUCACCCGGCACUUCCUGGCGACGCAGCAACGACUGCGCGACGCACACAGUCGCCUGUUGCGGCAGACCCAGCGCCAGCUCUGCACCGGUCGGCACGAUCUCAAGGAGCGGCGGCACCCCCGGCGGCUCACCCCGGACGCGGAUCAGAGACGCCGCGGCCCGCGAGCCUCGGCUCACACGGAGCUCGCUCGCCCAGCGGCCCGGCCGACGGAGGGCAAAUUCACGCGAGAAGAGCCCCUGUGAACGGCGGGGGUGAGGAUGGCUGUCCAGUUUGAGGCACUGGUGUACUGCAUGUCGCGAUUGCAGCCGGUACAGUGUGACUCGGGGUGUUCGCUACACACCACUCUGUAGCAGUGAACAACUUUGAACAUGGUGUAUUCUAGUCACGUAUGUGUCCAAAGGUAUAAACCAAUACGUUUAAGUCCACGCCGGUUGUGCCCAGCAUCCAUCAAAAAUAGAGCCGUUUAUGUUGAAACAUCUGCCUCGACGUCGUUCGGGAUCAGACCACGCCUUAACAAAAAUAAGUUUUUCAAACAAAACUGAAAUAUAUGCAUCCAAAUCUCAAUUGAUCAGGUGUUCUGGAAACUUGUGCAUCUGCGGUUUUACCACGCCUCACGGCAGUAGAGUUCGGGGAGCAGCUGUCUACAUUCGGUGGCAGCGCCGGGGCCACGCGCCGAUGGUAAGGCCGACGCGCCGAUGUCGUCAGCGCCGGAAAAACUGCAAACAGGUGCGCUUCGCCAGCGCUGUAUCGUUGGAGUUGCAAGACAGCACGGCGAGCCUGCGCGUCUGUGUGGCGCUGGGCUGGUGUGUUGUGCUGGCGCGCUGGCAGCUGUGGCAGUAUAGAAGCCGUGCCGCAAUGCGAUCUUUUGGGGACACUCCGUCUGUUAAGGUCACUAAACGCUCAGAAUGUCCUGCAACUCCGCCUGCGCAGGUUAGAAGCGUCCCGAUACACAAAGAGUCAUAUGCUACGUUAAAACGCGCCCGUCAUCAUGUCAGCGUUUACUUGUCUGCGCUGCGCCCGUCUGUCCUGCUGCAGCGCCCGCAACCCCGUUCUGUAUGCUUGCCGGUUCUCAUGCUGCCGGAGGCCGCCUCAGAACCAAGAACGCGACUCGUUCUACUGAAGCAAAAAUGCCGACAUCAGAUACCCGCGCGAAUAUAUAAACAUACAUCACAGAUUUACUCGCCAGCACAUGCGCAUAUCAACUCACAAAGGUCAAGGAUACUGCAUCGCAGCGAAUAAUUCACCUGCCAGCGAAACUAAAGGUCAUCCCAGGCUACAGCCGCCAUCGUCUCGGACGAUCGAACAACGCGCUAAAAGGCAUUGAAAGGUGACUGCAUACGAGUCGAGCGCUCCUGGGCUGCUGAGCAGAGCAAGGCUCACGAGCUCCCAAACAGCCAGCGAGGACAGUUCUACACCACGCCAUCAGAUAACGGGCACCGACAGCGACCGGAGCCGUGAGCCGACGGGCGGCGCCAGGCCGCCUGCGUCCACGUUUGAUUAUCUGCCCGCCGACGCAGCCGCGCGGUCGCUCGUGGCUGUCGGACGGCGCGCGUCGCCGAGCGCCAGCGGUCACAAACUCGUCUUCCCGAGCAGACGCACUCGUCUAAAGCCUCAAGUAGGGGCUGUCGUGGUGGCGUCCCUUUGGAGGGAACGUCCGGACAGCCAGCUGCGGUGUGAGCCGCACGGUAACCACAACGUCCACAUCACACCCCUAUCACGCAGCGACGUCAAAUACAUCUCCUCUCCUCACCUCGGAAACGCGCUUUGGCAACAUCAAUGACGGCGUGCACGACACGUGGAAUGACCACUAGGGCUGUUGGCUCCUGUCGAUGGUGUCACCGCUCACACGUCGUCCCUGGCGGAGACUGUUGCGACGGCCGUCAGCAGAUGAACGGCGUUCGGGGGGGUCACCGCCCGAGGCGCUGUGUAGACAGUGACACCAAAGACGGGGUCAACGGUCCCAACAGUGGAUCGGCGACGUAACUUGAAGACGCGACUGGAACAGGUAGAGCUGACGACAGAUUUUUUCACCUGCGUGUCCACUCCGGGUUCGUUACCUUUGCCAUUUGCCGGUUGUGAUCGGGCAUGCGGCCAGCGCGCAGUUCGAAUGAAUUUCAGACAAAAGGCUGAACCACGUGUAUAGUUCCCACCAGCUACGCACGUGAAGGCGCAACUCAGGAAGCUAGAGGGGUCCCGGCCCCUGCAGAGGACUUGACGCUGUGCUUUACUUGCAUGAUUUAAUGAACGUCAGAACCAAGUUCUAACAUUACUGCCCCCCACCUACGGACCUCACCCUCCCCAGGAUCCGAUGACGGCUCUGCUUCUAUAAGCAGGUACAGCCUUGACAUGGGCCUGUGCCCAGCGCGCGGUUCGGAUGUGGUAUCGCUGAGUCGUGACAGCAGCUGGCGUCAGACGCCACGGAGGAAACUAAACUACUUAGUAGGGACACCCUCGGAGCGGUACUUCGCGGAUGGGCGGAUUUGCCAGGCCCUUAUUGUCGUGAAGCCUAUCAAAGUAUUCAGUGUGAGCGUUACUUCUUACCGGAGCAGAAGCGAGACAGUGCGUUAUCAGUGGGUGUCACGGUGCAUUAGCGACGUAAUGCAAUCAGCAGCGCGCAUGACAGUGCAUUAACCGGGCAAUGCAAUCAGCAGCGGGCAUGACAGUGCAUUAGCGAUGUAAUGUAAUAGUAUGAGGGGCCGGCACGGCCGCGAAGUCCUACGGCUGUAACGCACUGAUUCUAGCUCAACACAUUCCUCACUGGGCUGCGAGCUUUUCAGUUGGCCCUCGUCUACUGCACCCCCCUCCCCCCGAAAAACCGUAAUCUGGUUCGGUCUUACUCGCAACUGCAGAGAUCUCGCGGAUGAUAUGCAUCAUAUCAGCAUAAGCGACUGCAGAAUAAAAGAUACCCACCGGUGUCGCCAAGCCUAUCACAACGCAUCGUUUCGGCCAGCAUCACCAGGAGGGUGUGUUUGGAGCUAGCAUUGAUGACAUUGUGCAAUAAUUUGAAACCCGACAUGGUGAUUUGUCGGCAUUAUCAAACUGCGGUAAUCGCACAUUUAAAUGAAGGGAAAUUUCGCGCCGCAGAUACGACAUUACACCUGUGCUAACACCCCCGCCCCGAACAUCUGUAAACAAGGCAUCGGCACAUAAAACGACACUCGCGUCACGCGGUCACCUAAUAUCCCGCCAUCGUGGUUCAUAACCAACACAACUCGUUCGUCCAGACACGGUCGGACGCCGCUCGCCAUAGCCAGUGCCAGGAGCGUGAUCCCGGUACGGUGCGCCGGUGCUCACCAGUUACACCGGGACGGCACCGCGGGCGGCGGCCCACGAGGUGCCGG